rnacentral:tRNA from 1 species
GAUGUAGUGCCGGAAGAAACGGAUUGUGUUGAUGUCAUAAAAUAUGUAAGUUUGUUACCUGCAUCU